CAGCACUUCGCAUGGCAACAUUUUGAUUCAGUUGUACCAGCUUAAAAGAAGCAGAAUCUUAUCGAAGGAGUUUAAUUGGCUUUGCCUGUUGAGAUUAAUAGAUUUCUACAUAAAGGAGAAAGUAUGACUUCUCAAUAGGCAGCUGCUCUCCUCCUCGGUCAUUGGCACGAUGGGACACCACCGUUAAGAGACUGCAGAUCUACGCAAACAAGGAUGGCUGCAUGGUUGUAUGGAUGCAGGUGUGCAUGGUUGCAGAUUCAGCAAGUGGAUUCAGCUUCCUGGAUUUGAAAGUAUCCUGCCACUUGGCCCAGUGAGCAAUCCUUUGGGCACAAAGAAUCAUUGGAAGGAGAGCCUGGGCCUUGAAAUUUAUCAUUUCUGGACAGCAGAUUGAACAGGCAUGCAAGUUACCUGCUCAUAGUCUUCCUGCUAUG